UUUAAGAUGAACCACUGAGACAAGUGUGUGCAGUCUGUCUGACAGUGAGAUUAAUCAUCAUGAUGAUGUUACUGAUUCCACUGCUGACCACGCUGCUGUUAGGACUUCAAGGAUCAGAUGCCAAUCCAUCUGUGACUCAGUCUCCUGUAUCAAAGUCUGUUGGUGUGGGACAGACGGUCUCUCUGAGCUGUACAGCCAGUACAGGAGUUGAUGAUGAUCUCAGUUGGUACCUGCAGAAACCUGGACAGCCUACCAAACUGUUGUUUUACAAAAUAAGUAGCCAUCAGUCUGGUACUCCGAGUCGUUUCAGCAGCAGUGGAUCUGAACCUGAAUUCACUCUGACAAUCAGUGGGGUUCAGGCUGAGGAUGCAGGAGACUACUACUGUAUGGGAGCAUAUACGAGUGGGUCUACUUUUGGUGGAGGAACCAAACUCAUCAUACACUCGGGCCCCAUGGUCAGGCCCUCAGUCUCUCUGCUUCCCCCCUCCUCUGAGCAGCUCUCUGGGGGCUCGGCCACGCUGGCCUGCCUGCUGACCGGCUACUCUCCUCAGGGAGCCGUGGUGAGCUGGGAGGUGGACGGUACGGAGGUGACAGAGGGGGUCCAGACCAGCUCAGAGGAGGAGAAGAGCGGACGCUACAGCAGCAGCAGCACCCUGAGCCUGAGCCAGGAGCGCUGGAUGAAAGGAGAGCUGUACUCCUGCAAGGUCCUCCAUCAUGACCACAGCCAGACCCAGUCCCUCCACAGGAGCCAGUGUGAGGGCUAGAGGGGCUCCCUGAAGCCCAGGACAGGAGCUCUGUGUGGGGGGAGCAGGAGGAACAAACCUGCUGCUCUGAUCAAUAUGAGUUUUAAUGUUUGUAGAGGAAAGUAAAGCUUUGUGUGACAGAGAACAACACUGCUGUAAAGUGUUGGACAACAACAACUUAGAGAGUAAUGUGUGUAGCUCAGCAGCUAGAUGUGAGUGUGCUUAAUAACUGUCAUGUUGAUGAUUGAUGUUUUUGCUAAUAAAGCUUGAACUGAUAAAUAA